AUACAAAUAAGAUAAACAUAAAUUAAUCUAUUAAUUUUAGGAAUUAAAUAUAUCUUUUAGAUUUUGUAUAA
rnacentral:tRNA from 1 species